rnacentral:snoRNA from 1 species
UGGGCCAGUGAUGAGGACGUCUCCCACUCUUGUUCGAGUUUCCCAACAUGAGACAAUAUCACAUGCACUACCGUCUGAGGCUGC